GGAGAGAUGGUCGAGUGGUUUAUGGCUCCAGUCUUGAAAACUGGCAUAGUUUAUCUAUCGAGGGUUCGAAUCCCUCUCUCUCCU
rnacentral:tRNA from 2 species